GAACAGGGCCUCGGGGGAGUGACGGUAGGAUGGAGCGGAUUGGAACAGGGCCUCGGGGGGAUGACGGUAGGAUGGAGCGGAUUGGAACAGGGCCUCGGGGGGGGAGUGACGGUAGGAUGGAGCGGAUUGGAACAGGGCCUCGGGGGGGAUGACGGUAGGAUGGAGCGGAUUGGAACAGGGCCUCGGGGGGAGUGACGGUAGGAUGGAGCGGAUUGGAACAGGGCCUUACACUGAGUUUCCUCUUGGGGGCUUUCUGUUUGGCGGUCGCUCCCCUACGAUGAGUCACAAACUUCCCUGGAGCCAAAACUGGAGACGG
ensembl:lncRNA